GUCUACUGCCAUGCCACCCUGAACAAGCCCGAUCCCGUCUGAUCUCAGAAGUUAAGCAGGAUCAGGCCUGGUUAGUACUUGGAUAGGAGACCACCUAGGAAGACCAGGUGCUAUAGGUG
rnacentral:rRNA from 1 species